GAUUAUGGCUCAGAACGAACGCUGGUGGCGUGCUUAUACAUGCAAGUCGAGCGAGGCAGCAAUGCCGAGCGGCGAACGGGUGAGUAACGCGUAAGCAAUCUGCCCCAUAUCAGGAAAUACCCGUGCCAACGCGCGGUUAAUGUCCAGGAGAGUGGCCCUCUGCAUGGAGGGUUGACUAGAGAUUUAUCGGUAUGGGAUGAGCUUGCGUCCGAUUAGCUAGUUGGCGGGGCAACGGCCCACCAAGGCGACGAUCGGUAGCCGGCCUGAGAGGGUGAUCGGCCACAUUGGGACUGAGAUACGGCCCAGACUCCUACGGGAGGCAGCAGUAGGGAAUAUUGCACAAUGGGGGAAACCCUGAUGCAGCAACGCCAACGUGUGGGAAGAAGCAUUUCGGUGUGUAAACCACUGUCAUGAGGGAAUAAGGCCCGCCUUCGGACGGGAUUGAAUGUACCUUGAGAGGAAGCACCGGCAAACUUCGUGCCAGCCGCCGC
rnacentral:rRNA from 1 species